UGGUCAUUUAGAGGAAGUAAAAGUCGUAACAAGGUCUCCGUUGGUGAACCAGCGGAGGGAUCAUUACCGAGUUUACAACUCCCAAACCCAUGUGAACAUACCUACUGUUGCUUCGGCGGGAUUGCCCCGGGCGCCUCGUGUGCCCCGGAUCAGGCGCCCGCCUAGGAAACUCAACUCUUGUUUUAUUUUGGAAUCUUCUGAGUAGUUUUUACAAAUAAAUAAAAACUUUCAACAACGGAUCUCUUGGUUCUGGCAUCGAUGAAGAACGCAGCGAAAUGCGAUAAGUAAUGUGAAUUGCAGAAUUCAGUGCGAAUCUUUGAACGCACAUUGCGCCCGCCAGUAUUCUGGCGGGCAUGCCUGUCUGAGCGUCAUUUCAACCCUCAUGCCCCUAGGGCGUGGUGUUGGGGAUCGGCCAAAGCCCGCGAGGGACGGCCGGCCCCUAAAUCUAGUGGCGGACCCGUCGUGGCCUCCUCUGCGAAGUAGUGAUAUUCCGCAUCGGAGAGCGACGAGCCCCUGCCGUUAAACCCCCAACUUUCCAAGGUUGACCUCAGAUCAGGUAGGAAUACCCGCUGAACUUAAGCAUAUCAAUAAGCGGAGGA
rnacentral:rRNA from 1 species